rnacentral:rRNA from 1 species
GAUGAACGCUGGCGGCGUGCUUAACACAUGCAAGUCGAACGAAGCACUUUAUUUGAUUUCCUUCGGGACUGAUUAUUUUGUGACUGAGUGGCGGACGGGUGAGUAACGCGUGGGUAACCUGCCUUGUACAGGGGGAUAACAGUGGGAAACGGCUGCUAAUACCGCAUAAGCGCACAGCAUCGCAUGAGGCAGUGUGAAAAACUCCGGUGGUAUAAGAUGGACCCGCGUUGGAUUAGCUAGUUGGUGAGGUAACGGCCCACCAAGGCGACGAUCCAUAGCCGACCUGAGAGGGUGACCGGCAACAUUGGGACUGAGACACGGCCCAAACUCCUACGGGAGGCAGCAGUGGGGAAUAUUGCACAAUGGGCGAAAGCCUGAUGCAGCGACGCCGCGUGAGCGAAGAAGUAUUUCGGUAUGUAAAGCUCUAUCAGCAGGGAAGAUAAUGACGGUACCUGACUAAGAAGCACCGGCUAAAUACGU